CGUAGGUAACCUGCCUAUUAGAGGGGGAUAACUAUUGGAAACGAUAGCUAAUACCGCAUAACAGUAUGUAACACAUGUUAGAUGCUUGAAAGAUGCAAUUGCACCGCUAGUAGAUGGACCUGCGUUGUAUUAGCUAGUAGGUAGGGUAAUGGCCUACCUAGGCGACGAUACAUAGCCGACCUGAGAGGGUGAUCGGCCACACUGGGACUGAGGCACGGCCCAG
rnacentral:rRNA from 1 species